AUUAAUUAGUUAGACAUGCCUGAAUCAGGAGGUGGUGGUGCCAUCAGUUACUACAGGCAUUUCGUCUGGCAAGCCAACAGUCAGUCACCAAACCAAUGAUCCAACCGGAUCUAAACGUUAUGGAGGUCACCCCAUCUGUGCCAGACGUCAUGGAGAUCACCCCAGCUAUGAGAAUCCAUAAAGGACUCGGCUGUGAUGAAACAGAUUCUGCUCACUGUGACUGGGUGAAGGAGUACCGAACCCACUUUGCUGGGAAAGUUCACCUUCCACAGGUCACAAGAAUGAACGAGGAUGAUCAUUGACCAAUAACUGUC